rnacentral:rRNA from 1 species
GACGGAGGGUGCAAGCGUUGUUCGGAUUGACUGGGCGUAAAGGGCGUGUAGGCGGUCGGCCAAGUCUGAUGUGAAAGCCCGGAGCUCAGCUCCGGAAGUGCAUCGGAAACUAGCCGGCUGGAGCGCGGUAGAGGAGGGUGGAAUUCCUGGUGUAGCGGUGAAAUGCGUAGAUAUCAGGAGGAACACCGGCGGCGAAGGCGGCCCUCUGGACCGUUGCUGACGCUGAGACGCGAAAGCGUGGGGAG